rnacentral:rRNA from 1 species
AUUGAACGCUGGCGGCAUGCCUUACACAUGCAAGUCGAACGGCAGCACGGGUGCUUGCACCCGGUGGCGAGUGGCGAACGGGUGAGUAAUACAUCGGAACAUGUCCUGUAGUGGGGGAUAGCCCGGCGAAAGCCGGAUUAAUACCGCAUACGAUCUACGGAUGAAAGCGGGGGACCUUCGGGCCUCGCGCUAUAGGGUUGGCCGAUGGCUGAUUAGCUAGUUGGUGGGGUAAAGGCCUACCAAGGCGACGAUCAGUAGCCGGUCUGAGAGGACGACCAGCCACACUGGGACUGAGACACGGCCCAGACUCCUACGGGAGGCAGCAGUGGGGAAUUUUGGACAAUGGGCGAAAGCCUGAUCCAGCAAUGCCGCGUGUGUGAAGAAGGCCUUCGGGUUGUAAAGCACUUUUGUCCGGAAAGAAAUCCUUGGCCCUAAUACGGUCGGGGGAUGACGGUACCGGAAGAAUAAGCACCGGCUAACUACGUG